ACACAAGAUUGUUGAAGGAAUACUUCCAGCAGAUGUACAUUGAAGAUGUCAGUUUCUACAUGUGGGAAGUAGACAUUGAAGGCUUUAUGGUUUACAGACAAGAUCUUUAGAAGUUAAGCACUAAAGGACCAAGGAAAUAAAUACCAGAAAUCAAGAAGAGCACAGACCAUUUUCCUUCAUCAAUCCAUAGAACCCUAAUGCUUCUUUAGUUCCAUCAAACACAGAGGAAUGACCACCAUGGCAGAUGGCAACAGAGGAUGUCAACAAUUUUUUGGAGAGAGAAGAGGUACUCCCUUAUAGGGACUCGUAAAGACAUAGAGCAUCUGGAAAUCAACUGCCUCCAUUACGCUGCUGAGUCACACACAACGCUUGUUAUGUUUUCAUCACUUCUCUCCAGAAGGUUUCAGAAUCUCCUCUUCAACUGCCUACAAUGAAGAAAUAAAUCACCUCCAACAGUCAAAAGUCUGAAAUUAAG
rnacentral:sRNA from 1 species